AGAGUUUGAUCCUGGCUCAGAUUGAACGCUGGCGGCAUGCCUUACACAUGCAAGUCGAACGGUAACGCGGGGCAACCUGGCGACGAGUGGCGAACGGGUGAGUAAUACAUCGGAACGUGCCCAGUAGUGGGGGAUAGCCCGGCGAAAGCCGGAUUAAUACCGCAUACGACCUACGGGUGAAAGCGGGGGAUCGCAAGACCUCGCGCUAUUGGAGCGGCCGAUGUCAGAUUAGGUAGUUGGUGAGGUAAAGGCUCACCAAGCCUUCGAUCUGUAGCUGGUCUGAGAGGACGACCAGCCACACUGGGACUGAGACACGGCCCAGACUCCUACGGGAGGCAGCAGUGGGGAAUUUUGGACAAUGGGCGCAAGCCUGAUCCAGCCAUGCCGCGUGCGGGAUGAAGGCCUUCGGGUUGUAAACCGCUUUUGUCAGGGAAGAAACGGUUUGAUCUAAUACAUCGAACUAAUGACGGUACCUAAGAAUAGCCCCCGAUUUGCCU
rnacentral:rRNA from 1 species